UACGUAGGGUGCGAGCGUUAAUCGGAAUUACUGGGCGCAAAGCGUGCGCAGGCGGCUUUGCAAGACAGAUGUGAAAUCCCCGGGCUCAACCUGGGAACUGCAUUUGUGACUGCAAGGCUAGAGUACGGCAGAGGGGGAUGGAAUUCCGCGUGUAGCAGUGAAAUGCGUAGAUAUGCGGAGGAACACCAAUGGCGAAGGCAAUCCCCUGGGCCUGUACUGACGCUCAUGCACGAAAACGUGGGGAGCAAACAGG
rnacentral:rRNA from 1 species